rnacentral:rRNA from 1 species
UACGGGAGGCAGCAGUGAGGAAUAUUGGUCAAUGGGCGAGAGCCUGAACCAGCCAAGUAGCGUGCAGGAUGACGGCCCUAUGGGUUGUAAACUGCUUUUAUACAGGGAUAAAGUGCGCCACGUGUGGCGUUUUGUAGGUACUGUAUGAAUAAGGACCGGCUAAUUCCGUGGCAGCAGCCGCGGUAAU